rnacentral:rRNA from 1 species
AUGCCAGCAGGUAAAUCAAUUAGAUGGACCUUAUCCAGUGAUUUGUGCACAUGUGCAACUACUUUACAUGGCCCAUGGAACGGUCCUAAGAAAUCAACAGCAAAUGAAAAAUGA